UUUCCGUAGGUGAACCUGCGGAAGGAUCAUUAAAGAGAGCCUCGGCUCCUUUUAUGCUUAUCACCACAUUGAUGUCCUGUCCUUUGUUGCUUCCGUCCUUGAAUGACGGGCCGCGUGCCCGCUUGACGUGGGCGGAGGGUUUUUCAAUACUAUAUAUUCUUGCUUAGAGUAUUUAUUUGUCUGAAUAUGAGGGAAAAUGCUUCAAAACUUUCAACAACGGAUCUCUUGGCUCCU
rnacentral:misc_RNA from 1 species